rnacentral:rRNA from 1 species
AGGGUUUGAUCCUGGCUCAGGACGAACGCUGGCGGCGUGCCUAAUACAUGCAAGUCGAACGCUUCUUUCCUCCCGAGUGCUUGCACUCAAUUGGAAAGAGGAGUGGCGGACGGGUGAGUAACACGUGGGUAACCUACCCAUCAGAGGGGGAUAACACUUGGAAACAGGUGCUAAUACCGCAUAACAGUUUAUGCCGCAUGGCAUAAGAGUGAAAGGCGCUUUCGGGUGUCGCUGAUGGAUGGACCCGCGGUGCAUUAGCUAGUUGGUGAGGUAACGGCUCACCAAGGCCACGAUGCAUAGCCGACCUGAGAGGGUGAUCGGCCACACUGGGACUGAGACACGGCCCAG